rnacentral:rRNA from 1 species
UACGAGAGGCCCAAACGUUAUUCGGAUUUACUGGGCUUAAAGAGUUCGUAGGCGGCGCAGAAAGUAGGGUGUGAAAGCCCUCGGCUCAACCGAGGAAUUGCGCCCUAAACUACUGUGCUUGAGGAACCUAGAGGUGAGCGGAACUGAUGGUGGAGCGGUGAAAUGCGUUGAUAUCAUCAGGAACACCGGAGGCGAAGGCGGCUCACUGGGGGUUAUCUGACGCUGAGGUGCGAAAGCGUGGGGAGCAAACAGG